rnacentral:rRNA from 1 species
CAGCAGCCGCGGUAAUACCGGCGGCCCGAGUGGCGGUCACUAUUAUUGGGCUUAAAGCGUCCGUAGCCGGGUUGGGAAGUCCUCCGGGAAAUCUGGCCGCUUAACGGUCAGAAUGCCGGAGGAUACUCCCAGCCUAGGGAGCGGGAGAGGCCGAGGGGAUUCCCGGAGUAGGGGGGAAAUCCUAUAAUCCCGGGAGGACCACCUGUGGCGAAGGCGCUCGGCUGGAACGCGUCCGACGGGGAGGGACGAAGGCCAGGGGAGCAAACCGGAUUAGAUACCCGGGUAGUCCUGGCUGUAAACGAUGCGGACUUUGUGUCGGACAAGCUAUGAGCUUGUCCGGUGCCGGAGGGAAACCGUUAAGUCCGCCGCCUGGGGAGUACGGCCGCAAGGCUGAAACUUAAAGGAAUUGGCGGG